rnacentral:rRNA from 1 species
AGAGUUUGAUCAUGGCUCAGAUUGAACGCUGGCGGUAUGCUUAACACAUGCAAGUCGAACGGUAACAGUCCCUCACCUAGAAAUUUCUUAAAAAGAGAUUUGUAGGUGAGGGAGCUGACGAGUGGCGGACGGGUGCGUAAUGUAUAGGAAUCUGCCUGGUAGUGGGGGACAACUCGGAGAAAUUCGAGCUAAUACCGCAUAAGCCCUACGGGGGAAAACGGGGGAUCUUCGGACCUCGUGCUAUUAGAUGAGCCUAUAUUAGAUUAGCUUGUUGGUGAGGUAAUGGCUUACCAAGGCGACGAUCUAUAGCUGGUCUGAGAGGAUGAUCAGCCACACUGGGACUGAGACACGGCCCAGACUCCUACGGGAGGCAGCAGUGGGGAAUAUUGGACAAUGGGCGAAAGCCUGAUCCAGCAAUACCGCGUGUGUGAAGAAGGCCUGAGGGUUGUAAAGCACUUUCAAUUGGGAGGAAUACCUAAUAGUUAAUAGCUAUUAGAUUGAC